rnacentral:rRNA from 1 species
UACGAAGGGGGCUAGCGUUGCUCGGAAUCACUGGGCGUAAAGCGCACGUAGGCGGAUUGCUAAGUCAGGGGUGAAAUCCUGGAGCUCAACUCCAGAACUGCCUUGAUACUGGAGGAGCUUCGAGUCCGGGAGAGGUGAGUGGAACUGCGAGUGUAGAGGUGAAAUUCGUAGAUAUUCGCAAGAACACCAGUGGCGAAGGCGGCUCACUGGCCCGGUACGUGACGCUG